GGCAUCAUGGGGCAGUUGGUUAAAGCGCUUCCCUUAUAAACAGAAGAGCCUGGGUUCAACUCCCAGUGGUGCCU
rnacentral:tRNA from 1 species